rnacentral:lncRNA from 1 species
AUGCUAUCUGAGAGGCAAAGGUGCCUCUGCAUUUCACGAUUGCCCACUGGGCUAGGACAGCCUCAAGCUCGGCUUAUCUGGCAGUUCCGCCAAGGGCGCGCUGCCCUCCUGGAGCUAUUGGAGUCACCUGUUCAAGGUCGCGAACCCACCGGUGCAGCCUGCAAUCAGCGAGGUCCAGCGGGGCUGCGCGGUUUCCGCUCUGCCCGCGUUCGGCGUCGCCUGGGCCCCCACCUGGUGCCCCGCAAUCUGCGCAAAGGCUGUGAGACCGCGCCCUCUCCCGACCUACCCCACCAGCCCAAGCUGGGCCCGGAACUAACACCCUACAGGCGCAGGCGGCCAGCUGCAGCCGGGAAGGGGCACCGGAAGGAGGCGGUGGCGGGGCGGCCGGGGGAGGAGCGGGCCGGGGCGGGGCGCGGCCUACAAAAGCCACGCGCGGCGCGGAGGGCGGGCCUGGGCGCGAGCGGCGGAGUCGGCGGGGUCCCUGGCGCCGCAGAGGCCGCGGGCGAGGACCGGGAGGGGAGAGGGAGGAGACAGGAGGAGGAGACGCGAGUGCGGGGUGGCGCCGGUCCACCUCCGCAGCGCUCCUGCCUCCCUCCGGCUUUGGAAGGCGGGCCCGGGCUGCGGCAGCGGCGGCCUCGGCUGCCUGGGGAGGUGAAGUCCGGCUGCGGCGGCCUCGGUCGGCGCGGCGGAGGGAGGCGGCCGACCCGGCGGGGGUGGGCAGGUCUGGGCGGCCGGCGCCGCGGCGAGGUGGAGGGGCGGCUUGGUAUCCCCUGGGCGGGGCGGGGCUCCCGUGGGCCGUGGCCCGUGGCCGGUGCGUUUUCCUCCAGGUCAGCCUCCCCCGGGGCCUUGCAGAAGCGGCGUCUGCGUCCCCGGGGCGUCUGUGGGAAGGGUGGGGGUCGGUGCCUGCAGGGUUCUCCGUGGCCGCUCGGGAGAGGUGCUCUUCGCGCAGGCUCGCCCGGAGACUUGAGGGGGUGCUCGCUGGCGUGCAUGGGGCCUGUUCUGUCCUUGCUUUGGGGAUGCUCCUAA